rnacentral:rRNA from 1 species
CGCCCCCCGAACCCCAAAAUAUGGGGGGUACUGCCUGCCCAGUGAAUUUACUUAAACGGCCGCGGUAUCCUGACCGUGCGAAGGUAGCACAAUCACUAGCCCUCUAAAUAAGGGCCGGUAUGAAUGGCAACACGAAGGCCUAACUGUCUCCUCUUUUACUAAUUAAACUUCUUUGGCUGUGCAAAAGCGGCCAUUCAAGCGCUAGACGAGAAGACCCUAUCGAGCUUCAGGGAUAAGAGAUCGACUGAAAACUAGGUCAACUGAACCCACGGUGUGCCAACUCUUAACUCAUACUUCUAGUUUCGAUCCCGCUCUCCUCCUCCCUUUGGUUGGGGCAACCACGGAGAACAGUCACCCUCCGAGCCAAACUAAUUUUAAACGACAUUACGUCUUAAGUAUAAAUCUUAUGGCAUUUGAUCCGGUCUAACCGAUCAACAAACAAAGUUACCGUAGGGAUAACAGCGUAAUCCCUCCCAAGAGCCCGCAUUGCCGGAGGGGUUUGCGACCUCGAUGUUGGAUCGGGGAAUCCUGAUGGUGCAGC